AACGCGAAGAACCUUACCUGGGCUCGAAAUGCUAUGGACCAGCUUAUGAAAGUAGGCCUUCCCGCAAGGGACCGUAGUAUAGGUGCUGCAUGGCUGUCGUCAGCUCGUGUCGUGAGAUGUUGGGUUAAGUCCCGCAACGAGCGCAACCCUUGUCCUGUGUUGCCAUCAUUCAGUUGGGAACUCGCAGGAGACCGCCAGGGAUAACCUGGAGGAAGGUGGGGAUGACGUCAAGUCCUCAUGGCCUUUAUGUCCAGGGCUACACACGUGCUACAAUGGACGGUACAAAGGGCUGCCAACCCGCAAGGGGGAGCCAAUCCCAAAAAACCGUUCUCAGUUCGGAUUGCAGGCUGCAACUCGCCUGCAUGAAGCUGGAAUCGCUAGUAAUGGUGGAUCAGAACGCCACCGUGAAUACGUUCCCGGGCCUUGUACACACCGGCUAC
rnacentral:rRNA from 1 species